GAUGAACGCUGGCGGCGUGCCUAAUACAUGCAAGUCGAGCGAACAGAUGAGGAGCUUGCUCCUCUGACGUUAGCGGCGGACGGGUGAGUAACACGUGGAUAACCUUCCUAUAAGACUGGGAUAACUUCGGGAAGCCGGAGCUAAUACCGGAUAAUAUAUUGAACCGCAUGGUUCAAUAGUGAAAGACGGUUUUGCUGUCACUUAUAGAUGGAUCCGCGCCGCAUUAGCUAGUUGGUAAGGUAACGGCUUACCAAGGCAACGAUGCGUAGCCGACCUGAGAGGGUGAUCGGCCACACUGGAACUGAGACACGGUCCAGACUCCUACGGGAGGCAGCAGUAGGGAAUAUUCCGCAAUGGGCGAAAGCCUGACGGAGCAACGCCGCGUGAGUGAUGAAGGUCUUCGGAUCGUAAAACUCUGUUAUUAGGGAAGAACAAAUGUGGAAGUAACUAUGGACGUCUUGACGGUACCUAAACAGAAAGCCACGGCUAACUACGUG
rnacentral:rRNA from 1 species